ensembl:rRNA 5S_rRNA 5S ribosomal RNA
GUCUACAGCCAUACUACCCUGAACGCAUCCAAUCUCAUCUGGUCUCAGAAGCUAAGCAGGGUUGGACCUGGUUAGUACUUGGAUGGGAGACAGAUCUUCAGAGGAGACCACUCAGAGACAAGCGGUUUGGAGACA